ACUCAAAUGAAUUGACGGGGACCCGCACAAGCGGUGGAGCGUGUUCUUUAAUUCGAUGGUAAGCGAAGAACCUUACCCAGGUUUGACAUCCUUGGAAUUUCUGCGAAAGCAGAGAGUGCUUUAUUGAGCCAAGUGACAGGUGAUGCAUGGCCGUCGUCAGCUCGUGUCGUGAGAUGUUUGGUUAAGUCCAUUAACGAGCGCAACCCUUGUGAAUAGUUGGAUUUUUCUAUUCAGACUGCCCUGGUAACAGGGAGGAAGGGGGGGAUGAUGUCAGGUCAGUAUUUCCCUUACAUCUGGGGCUAGAAACACGCUACAAUGGCCGGUACAAAGGGCAGCCAAGUCGCAAGACGGAGCAAAUCCCAUCAAAGCCGGUCUCAGUUCGGAUAGGAGGCUGAAACUCGCCUCCUUGAAGUUGGAAUCGCUAGUAACGGUAAGUCAGCACAUUACCGUGAAUACGUUCCCGGGUCUUGUACACACCGCCCGU
rnacentral:rRNA from 1 species